GGCAAGGUGGCCGAGUGGUCUAUGGCGUGUGACUCAAGCUGGCAAAGCUUCUGGAACUCAUCCAGUGUAUUCUCAUGGGCGCAAGUCCGCGCGGGUUCGAAUCCCGUCCUUGUCA
rnacentral:tRNA from 1 species